rnacentral:lncRNA from 1 species
GUCAUUAUCUGUGUCCCCGCAUCCAUCCUCUUAUGAGCCAUGAAAGCUCUGAUAUCAAGUCACAAUCGGAGCUUCAGCUCAUCAAAUAUAGAAAUAGAUCGCUCACCUAAGAGGACCUGUGGAGGAAGUGGGAAUGGGGGCUCUGGUGUUUUAUGCCCGUAAUUCCAACAUUUGAGAGCCUGAAGCAGGUGAAUCGCUCCAAGUUUGAGAACAGCCUGGGUUACAUAGAGUUAAGCAAACAUGAACUAUAAAGUGUAUAGUACCUCAAAGUCUAGAAGGAGAUUUCAUCUUGAAGCAGUGACAUUGUAGGAAGCUAGGCGGCUCAGCUUUAGCACAAGAGGAGUGCACAGCCACACUCGGUACCUCCCACCCAGCCUCUGGAGGAGAGGGAGGAGGCGGGUCUGGAGGUGGAGCCUCCGUGAGGACCUGCGGACCUACAGCACAGCCUAUGGGCCUAUGGCGGAGCGACGCCUGUGGGCUGUGGCCUUCUGCGGGCGGCCAUUGUCGUGCCUGAUAAGCUUUUCUACGUGACUCACUUGCUUCACCUAGCCGGCAGAGCGAGACGACUGGAACCCACAGUUCCCAAACAGUGCACCUGCGGGAGAUCCCAACCCAACUGGAGAAGUGGACAUGAGGUUGGCAGGUGGGUGGCUUCCACAGCGAACUGAAGAGAGGCCAGGUGUCCUAGUGCCUGUGUUAGGAGAGGCCUGGGUGGUCACUGGUUUGUUUAUUUAUUAAUGGAUGACUGUGCACAAGCACUCAUUUUAUAAGCAAAUUCACCUCUGAGGACUUCAGCUUCCCAAACUAUAAGUUAAGGAUUGAUUUUAUAUAGAGA